rnacentral:rRNA from 1 species
UACGUAGGGGGCGAGCGUUGUCCGAAUUUACUGGGCGUAAAGCGCGCGUAGGCGGGCUGUUAAGUCGGGGGUGAAAUCCCGGGGCUCAACCCCGGAACUGCCUCCGAAACUGGUAGCCUUGAGGUAUGGAGAGGGAAGUGGAAUUCCUGGUGUAGCGGUGAAAUGCGUAGAUAUCAGGAGGAACACCUGUGGCGAAGGCGGCUUCCUGGCCAUAUCCUGACGCUGAGGUGCGAAAGCCAGGGGAG